rnacentral:tRNA from 1 species
GGAGGAGUCGCCUAGCACGGCUUAGGGCGCUCGCCUGGAAAGCGGGUAAACGCCGAAAGCGUUUCGAGGGUUCAAAUCCCUCCUCCUCCGCCA